rnacentral:rRNA from 1 species
GAUGAACGCUGACAGAAUGCUUAACACAUGCAAGUCAACUUGAAUUUGGGCUUUUAACUUAGGUUUGGGUGGCGGACGGGUGAGUAACGCGUAAAGAACUUGCCUCACAGCUAGGGACAACAUUUGGAAACGAAUGCUAAUACCUAAUAUUAUGAUAAUAGGGCAUCCUAUAAUUAUGAAAGCUAUAAGCGCUGUGAGAGAGCUUUGCGUCCCAUUAGCUAGUUGGAGAGGUAACGGCUCACCAAGGCGAUGAUGGGUAGCCGGCCUGAGAGGGUGAUCGGCCACAAGGGGACUGAGACACGGCCCUUACUCCUACGGGAGGCAGUAGUGGGGAAUAUUGGACAAUGGACCGAGAGUCUGAUCCAGCAAUUCUGUGUGCACGAUGAAGUUUUUCGGAAUGUAAAGUGCUUUCAGUUGGGAAGAAACAAAUGACGGUACCAACAGAAGAAGUGACGGCUAAAUACGUG